GACGAACCGUGCGAACGUUGUUCGGAAUCACUGGGCUUAAAGGGCGCGUAGGCGGGUCGGCAAGUCAGGGGUGAAAUCGUUCGGCUUAACCGGACAACUGCCUUUGAUACUGCCGGUCUUGAGGGAGGUAGGGGUCUGUGGAACUUCCGGUGGAGCGGUGAAAUGCGUUGAUAUCGGAAGGAACGCCGGUGGCGAAAGCGGCUCGCUGGACCCCUUCUGACGCUGAGGCGCGAAAGCCAGGGGAGCAAACGGG
rnacentral:rRNA from 1 species